CUGCAAAACUUUACAGAGGAGACAUUUAAUUUGGCUCAAAUUUUAAGGGAAUUCAGUUCUUUCUUGGCUGGCUCCAAGGUGGAAACAUCAUGGUGGAAGGGUGUGGUGGAACAAAACUGAUUACUUUAUGGCAGCUGGGAGCAGAGCAGAUGGAAAGUGCCAGAGAGGAAGGAGCAAGGGGGCCAGAUUCAGGAUCCAACCCACACCUCUAAACCCACCUGGACAUACUAGUGUGCUGCACGGGUUGCUCAGGCUCGGAGCAGGAAUACCAGAUGACCAAGGACUAAAAGCUCUAAAACUGUGAGGUUCAUUCUCUUUGGAAUGCAUUACCUGAAUGAUUUCAGUCCUAAGACCUCGCUUAUGAAUGGACUUUUGAGAUGAUUGUUUUUAUUUUACCCAACAGACUGUGGCUAUGAAUUCAUUGAAAAUUGCACCUGAG
rnacentral:lncRNA from 1 species